UUAGGGCUAGUGGCUACAAGGGAAGGAUCUCUAUGUAGGAGUCCCUCCUUUUGGAGUAUUUUGUGUGCCCUGCUUGUUGGGAUAGAUUUUUCCCCAUUCUACAUCCACAGCCACUGCAAUGGAAGGACAUGCUCUCACUUGGAAUUUUUCCUCUUCAAAACGAGUCAAUAUGAAAAACGAAUCUUAAAUAAUCUCAAGAAAUAAUAUGAAUUAAAUAAUACUUCAUCAUAAAAUAUCUUCCUUUCUUCUGUGGAAUAAAAAUGAAAUAUCUCUGAUUCAUCUUCAACGCGGUUAAGUAACAUCAAGUGACUUAAAUCAUAAAAUGGAUGAAACACUGUUUCUUUAACUAAAUGCUCAAGUGUCUUCUUCAUAUAUAGGAAACCAAAUUUCACUAACCUGCUAUCAGGCACUCAGUUCUAUGCCUCUUUGCUCAACAUGAAGACUUAUAUUGCCAUUUUCUUCCUGUGUCCAGUAAUUUCUAUUUACAGUGGAAUGUCUAAUCUAUGGCAGCAGAUGAUAUGAGGCACACUGAAAUAAGACUCAGUCUACAGCUUGUUUCUGAGACAUCUUGAAGAAGAAAGAAAUAAAGUAAAUGAAAAGAUGACCAGAAAUAAACUAUUCAGAUGUACUUGUGUCCACUGUCUACUAUUAUCAGCCAGGAGCACAAGGUGGCAGUGGAAGGACCAUGAAUUCUGUACCCAGUUUGAGUGGGAAUCUUGACCAUCUAAAACCAGCGCAGCAAGUUGUGACAGCUGUAUGUGGCAAAGUUUUAGUAUGAGCCUGAUAUCUAUGAGAAGAAGUCAGGGGAAUUGUUCUUCCUAGAUGUGAUCCUGAAGAGGUCCAUAGCUAAAGGGGACUGGUCAAGACUGAUGAAUUACAAGGUGUCCACAACUCUUCAGUUUUCUUUAGGGAGGGAAGAAAACUACCUGUUUCAGGAACUGGCUUUGAUUAAAAAGUCAUCUAGUUCUGCAUGAUAAUUUACCAUGCAUAUACAUAUGCGCUGCAUAGGGAUAGUUUCAUGACUCUCUGUGCACUUGGUUUCCUGUGAGUAUCUAUCUUGAAGGGGGUACUUCUGGAAAGGCUUUGUUAUCCAUAUAGGUAUUUUGCAUUUGAGUAAGGUAUGUUAUGCUUGUUCCUAACUUUAAUAGUGAUGCCUUUGGGUUGGAACUAUGCAAGAAAAUAAUUUUUCUUUUCUCUAGAAGCAAUAGAAAUAAAAAUAGAUGUACAUGAAUGACAUCAGACUGAAAAGACAAUAACCUUUGUGGAUUUAUGUGACCAAAUGAACUUUCAAAAUAAUAUUUCUCAGUGCAUCUGCUCAGAAAGGAAGUAUUAAGUUCUACACUGUCCAAAUGGCUGGUGAAUCUGAAUUAAUGGCUAAGACACUCAAACAUCAAAAUUAAAGGUGAUUUCAAAAUAUGAAUUAUCUAUUGAGAUCAUUUUCAUAACCUUCUGUUAAAAAUGCAGCACUGGAAAAGAAAAAUCUUUGUUCUCAGGCUUUACUUAGGCUGUGAAUUAUGUGUCUGAAGAUCUUUCUUACUGAAUUGACUGUCAAUAAAAAAAGCUUGUCUUUAGCAAAGAAACUUGAAAAAAAACUACAAAGCUGCAAGGUGCAGUGUAUUUUGUGAAAAGCUGUAAAGAAAUUCAUGAUUCUCUCAUAAAGCAUUCCACAACUAACUUGCAGCUUGUGAUCACAGAUCCACAUGAAAGUAAGAAAUAAAAAUAACACUGAAAUUUCAAACAUAAAUUCUACUUCAGAGAGGAGCUGGGAAGAAAAUAAGAAGGUAAAAAGUUGGAAUUUGUAUGUAUAUAUUGGCAAUUAGUAUGGCUUCAUAAAAAUGACAGCUAUAGUAAUGUUUGUAUGGGAUAAGAUCCAGUUUUUGCCUGAGCUACUGUAGAGGUAAGACGAGUCUUUGGAAGAUGGGGUUUGGAUAUGUUUGUAUAGUAUUGAGAAUCUUCUGAAGAGUAUUCAAACAAGUGAUAUCUUUCCUUGUUGGUUUGUUUUUACUUGCUUCCAUUACCCAUGUGGAAAAGCACAACCUUUUGGCGUACCUAUAAGUCCCUGUGUUGAAGCCAGGAUACUGAUGAAUUCAAACACUUUUUCCUUUGUUUACUGUGCCAUCUGCCAUACACUGUAUCAUGCAAGGCUGUGAUGGUAACUACUUCUUAGAUUAUCCAGUCCAUCUGGAAGUGCUCCAGAGUUCUUACAAGGUGAUUUUAUUCCUGUACCUUUUUGAUGCAUUAGGGUCUACACAAAAUGAAUUUUCCCAUCAGGACUUCUAGAAAAGCAAAGAAAUUGUGCAAUGAUCUUGAAAUAAGUACAUUAUAAUGACAGAUUAUGACAGUGCUUCAUAAUGAAGACUCUCUCCAGGGGCCAGAGCACAACAGUAAUGGAACUAUAGCAUAAAGUACAGUGUUCAAACUACUGACUGCCUGAAGACAAAAACCAUUGCCCAGGUGGCCUUCUAACUAGUGAAGCAAGAGGGUCAAAUCUCAGUACGGGAAAUCUAGAAGUUAUUUUAUAACUUAAAGCUAUGAAAUAUUCAAUAAAAUACAUUGGCAGUAUUUUUUUUUACUGUGGAAGUUUUAU